CCUACGGGGUGCAGCAGUGGGGAAUAUUGCACAAUGGGGGAAACCCUGAUGCAGCGACGCCGCGUGAGUGCAGAAGUAUUUCGUUACGUAAAGCUCUAUCAUCAGGGAAGAAACACUGACCUUACGGUCAGCAGACGGUACCUGACUAAGAAGCCCCGGCUAACUACGUGCCAGCAGCCGCGGUAAUACGUCGGGUGCAAGCGUUAUCCGGAUUUACUGGGUGUAAAGGGAGCGUAGACGGUGCGCCAAGUCUGAAGUGAAAUGCCGUAGCUUAACUGCAGAACUGCAUUGGAAACUAGCGAACUGGAGUGCGGGAGGGGUAGGCGGAAUUCUUGGUGUAGGGGUGAAAUGCGUAGAGAUGAGGAGGAAUACUGGUGGCGAAGGCGGCCUACUGGACCGUAACUGACGUUGAUGCUCGAAAGCGUGGGGAGCAAACAGGAUUAGAUACCCGGGUAGUC
rnacentral:rRNA from 1 species